GACAGAGGGUGCAAACGUUGUUCGGAAUUACUGGGCGUAAAGCGUGUGUAGGCGGCCGCAUAAGUCGGAUGUGAAAGCCCUGGGCUCAACCCAGGAAGUGCACUCGAUACUGCGCGGCUUGAGUACCGGAGAGGUUGGUAGAAUUCUCGGUGUAGAGGUGAAAUUCGUAGAUAUCGAGAGGAAUACCUGUGGCGAAGGCGGCCAACUGGACGAGUACUGACGCUGAGACACGAAAGCGUGGGGAGCAAACAGG
rnacentral:rRNA from 1 species